rnacentral:rRNA from 1 species
UGUUUGGGAAUGCAGCUCUAAAUGGGUGGUAAAUUUCAUCUAAGGCUAAAUAUCGACGAGAGACCGAUAGCGAACAAGUACCGUGAGGGAAAGAUGAAAAGAACUUUGAAAAGAGAGUUAAAAAGUACUUGAAAUUGUUAAGAGGGAAGCGCUAGCAAGCAGUCAAGACACAAAGCUAUACUUACUGGGGGACACCGAAAUCAGCUGCGGACCAGAUCGCAAGACUGUGUCGGGUUGAGGACGAGUGGCCGCCGGGUCAUGUAGCUGGGUGUGGGUCAGAGUCAAUUCGGAUGCGCGGCUGAAGGCCAGUGGAAAGGUAGGGUCUCCGGACCUGUUAUAGUCCGCCGGUUGAACCGUGCUCUGGAUUGAGGAUUGAUAAUGGACGCCGUAAGGUUUCGGCGCGGCUCUCCUGUUGGGUGGGACGGCUCCGAGGACAAUGUCCUGUGGGCUGUCUUUGCUUGAUACUGGGUGUCGCUGCCAGAUGUCCAUUCGCGAUUCUGACGAAAUGCUUGCUAUCGACCCGUCUUGAAACACGGACC